rnacentral:tRNA from 1 species
GCGCCCGUAGCUCAGCCAGGAUAGAGCGGUGGUUUCCUAAACCACAGGUCAGAGGUUCGAGUCCUCUCGGGCGUA